rnacentral:rRNA from 1 species
UACGUAGGUGGCAAGCGUUGUCCGGAUUUAUUGGGUUUAAAGGGUGCGUAGGUGGCCCUGUAAGUCAGUGGUGAAAUAUCUCAGCUUAACUGAGAGGGUGCCAUUGAUACUGCAGGGCUUGAGUACAGAUGAGGUAGGCGGAAUUGACGGUGUAGCGGUGAAAUGCAUAGAUAUCGUCAAGAACACCGAUAGCGAAGGCAGCUUACCAAGCUGUAACUGACACUGAGGCACGAAAGCCAGGGGAGCAAACGGG